CUUCCCUUCCUCCCUCCCUCCUUCCCUUCUUUCUCUCUCUCUCUCUCUUUCUUUCUUGAGACGGAGUCUUGCUCUGUCGCCCAGGCUGGAGUGCAGUGACGUGUUCUUGGCUCACUGCAAGCUCCGCCUCCCGUGUUCACGGCAUUCUCCUGCUUCAGCCUCUGGAGUAGCCGUGACUACAGGCACCCGCCACCGCGCCCGGCCUUAACUAGGAUUUUCUAGACUAUGUUCCAGGAGAAGUAGAAUUACUGCAUCACAGGGCACUUCAUUUUUAGAUUACGUAUCAUGGCGGCAGACCUUCAAUACCAAGAAGGGUCCGGAUGCAACAAGCCUGAGAGCUGUGUCUGGGGGAGGAGAGAGCACAAAUGGAUUCAUCCUCCUUCCACCACUGCCCAACAACUGAAGACCACCAACUGCGGACCACAGACUGAAGAGAAACAACUGAGGGUGCCAACUGAGGGCACUAACUGAAGGCAACCAAUGAGGGCACCCACUGAAGGCCACCAAGUGAAGGCCAGUUGCCCUGCCAACCAGAAUGCAUCCUGGUUCAGAGGAAACAAUCAGGUCCAGAAUCCCCUGCAUGCAUCCCCAGAACCCUGGAACUUGAGAACACAGGCACAUGGCUCACAAGGCCCCUCACUGCCAGUGGCCCUGCCCCCGCUUGCAUUCAUUGCUGGCUGCUAGGAACUUUCAGGUUUCUCACUGUGAAGAAGUUCCUAGGGAUCAUCACCUUACAAUGAAUGAUACUAAAAUUACUGAAACCAAAACUGCUUCAUGCAGUGUCAGGGAUUCAUAGAAUCCCCUUUCCCCCAUAAUCUCUGAAACAUUAACAAACUAGAAAUAAGAGAGAUUUCUGCAGGUACUUUCACAAAAAAAACAUUGCCAUGAGCUAAGCCUACCCUAUAAUGUCAAGUCAUAUUUCACAUAUUCAUAUAUAUAUUCAAUGCACAUACAUUUGAUUUACAUUUUUGAAAACAACACACAUGUUCUAUCAAAUUAACAAGACUAACAAGAAAUUUUCUAUAAUUUACACACUAAGUAUGUCACAUUUUUCUAAUGAUCACUUUGAUAGAGCAGCUUAGAAUCUAUCCUUUCAACAAAGCGAGAGCUUAUGUAAGAGGAAACCACUACAAAAUAUGAGAUUUUCAGUGUGACAAUCAUUGCUACUUUUAACUAGAAAUUACCCAGUAAAUGUAUUGUGAACUGCUU
rnacentral:lncRNA from 1 species